CCAUACCUUAACGUCAUGUAUAUUUCUAGGAAACCGAUUUGAUUAAGUCCUUUUUAGGAAAAGUGAUUAAUUUUGGAAAAUAUCUUUAUUGCGGAAGCUUUGCUUGUUUUCGUGUUAUUUUGAAAACAAUUACUGUUUUUGAAAACGCGCCCUAAAUCUAUCCAAUUUCAACAGUUAAAUAUAAAUAUUACCUAUCUUAAUGAAACAUAUAAAAACCAUCAAAAAUAAAUAAACGGCCUUAUUACAUUUAAAAGCCCAAAACCUCAAACGUAAUUAAAAAGAUGUCCAGUUCACCAGAAGAAAAUCAAACUUUCAGAACGGGUGGCCACUCCGAAUUCCCUCACAGCUCCAAGCCCACUAUGGUUGGGGAUUUCCUGCGUGGAUGAAAAUAAAAGGGGUGAGUUUGGGGAAACUCAGUGUGUAAGGAAAACUCAUUCAAAGCCCAAGUCAGCUCAAGCCCAUUAGGCCUAAGCCCAUUCAGGUAACAGUGGUACUGGGCCAGAGCCCUUUUCAGAUUACAAUAAACUGGGCCUUAGCCCCUUAUUCAGAUAACAGUAUGGCCCAUAGGCCCAUUUCAAAAUACAUGCAACAUCAAUAACAUAUGCAAGCC
rnacentral:lncRNA from 1 species